rnacentral:rRNA from 1 species
GAUGAACGCUAGCUACAGGCUUAACACAUGCAAGUCGAGGGGUAACGAGAGGAAAGCUUGCUUUCCUUGUCGACGACCGGCGCACGGGUGAGUAACGCGUAUCCAACCUGCCCCCAACUAGGGAAUAGCCUUGCGAAAGUAAGACUAAUACCCUAUAAUUUCCUCAGAUGACAUCUGACGAGGAAUAAAGAUUUAUCGGUGGUGGAUGGGGAUGCGUCUGAUUAGCUUGUUGGCGGGGUAACGGCCAACCAAGGCAACGAGCAGUAGGGGUUCUGAGAGGAAGGUCCCCCACAUUGGAACUGAGACACGGUCCAAACUCCUACGGGAGGCAGCAGUGAGGAAUAUUGGUCAAUGGGCGGAAGCCUGAACCAGCCAAGUAGCGUGCAGGAUGACGGCCCUAUGGGUUGUAAACUGCUUUUAUACAGGAAUAAAGUUAGCCACGUGUGGUUAUUUGUAGGUACUGUAUGAAUAAGGACCGGCUAAUUCCGUGCCAGCAGCCGCCGCCG